UACGCAGGGUGCAAGCGUUGUCCGGAAUUAUUGGGCGUAAAGCGCGCGCAGGCGGUCCUUUAAGUCUGAUGUGAAAGCCCACGGCUCAACCGUGGAGGGUCAUUGGAAACUGGGGGACUUGAGUGCAGAAGAGGAAAGCGGAAUUCCACGUGUAGCGGUGAAAUGCGUAGAGAUGUGGAGGAACACCAGUGGCGAAGGCGGCUUUCUGGUCUGUAACUGACGCUGAGGCGCGAAAGCGUGGGGAGCAAACAGG
rnacentral:rRNA from 1 species